rnacentral:rRNA from 1 species
CCUACGGGUGGCAGCAGUGAGGAAUAUUGGUCAAUGGGCGUAAGCCUGAACCAGCCAAGUCGCGUGAGGGAUGAAGGUUCUACGGAUCGUAAACCUCUUUUAUCAGGGAACAAAGUGCGGGACGUGUCCCGUUUUGUAUGUACCUUAUGAAUAAGGAUCGGCUAACUCCGUGCCAGCAGCCGCGGUAAUACGGAGGAUUCGAGCGUUAUCCCGAUUUAUUGGGUUUAAAGGGUGCGUAGGCGGCCUUUUGAGGCAGCGGGGAAAGAUUGUGGGUCAACCCUAGACAAGCCGUUGAAACUGGCGGGCUUGAGUGGGUGAGAAGCAGGCGGAAUGCGUGGUGUAGCGGUGAAAUGCUUAGAUAUCACGCAGAACCCCGAUUGCGAAGGCAGCAUACCGGGCCCAGACUGACGCUGAGGCACGAAAGCGUGGGGAUCGAACAGGAUUAGAUACCCCAGUAGUC